AACGCGAAGAACCUUACCUGGGUUUGACAUGCAGAGGAAACUUUGGUGAAAGCCAGAGCCUCCCGCAAGGGACUUCUGCGCAGGUGGUGCAUGGCUGUCGUCAGCUCGUGCCGUGAGAUGUUGGGUUAAGUCCCGCAACGAGCGCAACCCUCGCCCUUAGUUGCCAUCAUUCAGUUGGGCCCUCUAAGGGGACUGCCGGUGAUAAGCCGCGAGGAAGGUGGGGAUGACGUCAAGUCCUCAUGGCCCUUACGGGCUGGGCUACACACGUGCUACAAUGGCGGUGACAGUGGGACGCAAUGGGGCAACCCUGCGCAAAUCUCAAAAAGCCGUCUCAGUUCGGAUUGCACUCUGCAACUCGAGUGCAUGAAGUUGGAAUCGCUAGUAAUCGCAGAUCAGCACGCUGCGGUGAAUACGUUCCCGGGCCUUGUACACACCGCUACAGU
rnacentral:rRNA from 1 species